rnacentral:lncRNA from 1 species
UUUGUUACAUCAUGGAACUGAGGAGUUGAGAGUUAUGAGAGCAGCAUCCCACAGAGGGGACAAAUGCAAGGCCAUUAUAGGAAAGGGUAAUAUAAGAUCUACUCACAAAUAAAGAUGAGCAUUUUGGAAAGGAUUUGGGCAUUUUAAAAAGUGAACAAUGCAUCUGGGGUUUGGUGCUGAUCUAAUUAAACUUGUGAGCCUGCAAAGGAUUCAUCCCCACCCAGUGAGAAGCAGCCAGGUUGCAGUUGCUGUGGGAACAGCGCCACCAACCAGGCCUGGUGCUGCCCAUACUCCCCCUGGACCAUCCCUGCCCUCACAUAAACCAGUCAAUGAUGCUGAGGAACAUUCAGUAGCCAUCAAACAAGAAACACUCCGAGGAAACCAAUGAGUAGCACUUUCCCAUCUUUGCCUCAGGAACUCUGCCUCCUGGUAGGAAGGGUCCAGCAGAGUGGUGACCUGGUGAUAUAUAUAUAUAUAUAUAGGCUGUGCUGUCCAUCAUGCAGGCACUGGCCUGUUGAGGAGUUAAGUGUUUUCAAUGAUAAUAAAUAUCAUGAAUAGUUUAAGACCUUAUUGUCU